rnacentral:lncRNA from 1 species
AGUCGGGCCUGGCACAGAAGUCAUGGAUGGCUGGGUACCAUCCCUCUCCAGUGUUGCAGAAAUCCUGUCUCAGGGACAGAGCUUGUGAGGCUAUGGCCUGGCUAGAUGCUCUGGCAUCGUUUCCCUCCAUCCUCCACCAGAAUUUAUGCCACAGCUUGUGCCCAUUCAUUUCUGUCCCCUCCCGCUGCCCUCCCUGUGUGGGUGGGGGUUUGGGCAGCCCAUGGUAAUAAGCAUGGAGCAGGGGUUGUCUGUGAUGUCAUUCUUGCUCAGAACGAAGCAUUCCAGCAUGGACAGCACUUGUCCUGGCUCCCCUGCUAUAUAGAACUCACUGUUCCCCACCCUAGACCCUUACCCUCACCCCUUGCCAGGCCAGCAUUCUGCAAUAUGAUUUCCAGGAGCUUCCAGAAUGCUGGCUUGUUACAGCUGCUGCCCUGCUCUUAGUGACCAGCAUCUCCUUCGAGCAGUCCUCUGUGUCACCAGCACUGACAGAAUUCUCCUAUUGCCCACUGGUGCCCCGAAGCUUGGCACACCAGCCAUUCUGCUCUUGCUGCUG